rnacentral:rRNA from 1 species
AUUGAACGCUGGCGGAAUGCUUUACACAUGCAAGUCGAACGGCAGCACGGGGGCAACCCUGGUGGCGAGUGGCGAACGGGUGAGUAAUACAUCGGAACGUGCCCAGUCGUGGGGGAUAACGUAGCGAAAGCUACGCUAAUACCGCAUACGAUCUCUGGAUGAAAGCGGGGGACCGCAAGGCCUCGCGCGAUUGGAGCGGCCGAUGGCAGAUUAGGGUAGUUGGUGGGGGUAAAGGCUCACCAAGCCGACGAUCUGUAGCUGGUCUGAGAGGACGACCAGCCACACUGGGACUGAGACACGGCCCAGACUCCUACGGGAGGCAGCAGUGGGGAAUUUUGGACAAUGGGCGAAAGCCUGAUCCAGCCAUUCCGCGUGCAGGAUGAAGGCCCUCGGGUUGUAAACUGCUUUUGUACGGAACGAAACGGUCCUGGUUAAUACCUGGGCUAAUGACGGUACCGUAAGAAUAAGCACCGGCUAACUACGUGCCAGCAGCCGCGGUAA